rnacentral:lncRNA from 1 species
GCUGGGCCUGCUACGCCUGGGGCAGCUGGCUCUGGGCGCUGCCUUCUGGGUGACGGUAGCGGCUCAUAAGUACGAAGGGGCGGCCCACUUCGCUCUGUUUGCCGCCGUCCUCGUCUGGCUCCUCACCCUGGCCCUCUUCGGGCUGAGCCUGCUGGGGCGCUGGGAGCUGGUGCCCUGGUUGGGCUCCCGCUGGCUCCUCACCAACCUUGUGCACGACCUGGCACUGGGUGUGGGGCUCUACGCAGCUGCCACCGGCAUCAUGGGUCACAAGGCCAAGCAGAGAAGCUUUUGCAACCUGCCGGGCUACAGCCAGCACUGCCUGUACAGUGCCUACCUGAGCGCCUCCAUCUGCGGGGGCAUCACUGCCUGCCUGUACCUCUUCUCCGGGCUCUACUGCCUGUUGCGGCGUUGCCAGGACCAGCGAGACAUCAUCUGACAUCCCGUGCCACUUGGUUCCCCUUCUCAGCCGCAGACAGAACACAGCCUGUCUUUGGGAUGAAACGACCCUGCCGCCCCAUCCCCUCCUGGCUGACUGCACUGCAAUUCCUCCAGAGACUCCUGCACAGACGGAUGGACAGACAGAGGCCUUCGCCAAGCACGGCUUCCCCUGCAGAGCACCGAGACAGCAUGGACACCGAGCCACUGCACAGGCCCUUCUCCCAGCCCUGGACAGACUUAGGAUACUGCAAGUGGAAGGACCCAAAUGGAGAGCCCGUAAGAGGGAUACCAAUCUUUGGGAGCCCCCCUAGGACUCAAGCCAAAAUCCCCUGGUCUUGCCAGUGCUGCAUGCUCAGAGAGGUUUGUGGCUCCAAGCCACCAGAGCCACUGAACCAGCCCUGGGGCCAGACUACUCCAAAAGGGACAGAAACAGCCUCGCUGAUGGUUCUGGAGACCAGCCUGCAGCCCUGCCUGUCUCUGCCACACUUGGUUUAUCAUCCUGGAAAAUCUUCAUCUCUGGACUCUGUGGGACUGGGCCUAGAGACUGUGGUGGGGUGGAGGGGAAGGGUGAGCACUGCAGCAGUCUGUGCUGGCACUCUGGCCAUGGGGGAGCUGGGGCCAGGCAUUGUGGGAGCACAACCUGUAUUGGAGAACAGAAGAGGACACUGGCACUGGAGCCAGCCCAGUCCUGGAUCAGCCUCCAGAACCCACCAGGUGCCAAGCCCUGACGACGCCAUGUAGGGCUGACUAGAGAAAUGGGCACCUAGAGACAGAAUUUUUGGAGCAGUGCCACACUAGGGCUGCCCUGCCACAAGCCCUCCUCACCCUGCCUGGAAGCAAGUCUCUAUUGCUCCCGGUUCAAGGGAGGGUCUGCUCCCAUCUCUCUGUAGACUUAGAUCAGUGAGACAGGCGUCCCCAGCAGCUGGCCACAGCUGCCUACUGCCUGGGGUUCCCUGACACCUUUUUUGAGGUGUAGAGCAGCAGCCAUGGUUCACCUGGGGCCUUGAAGGGGUCUGGGAUUGGUACUGGGUUACCACUUCCAUCAUGAUGUGCUGUCCCAGUGCAUACCCCGUCAUGCCCCAGGCCAUGUACCCCUUCCUUGGGCAGGAUGUGCUGUCUGUACCCUGUGUCAAGGCUGGUCCCUGACACCGCCUGCCCCUGCCUUACUCUGUUGCAGCCCCUGGCCCAGGCUGUCCAAAAUGCCCUCGGUGCUUCUGCCACCACAAGUGCCUUCUCCUGGCUUUCUGCAACCCUGUCUGUCACACCAGCUCUAUUCCCCUACAGCCUCCUUUCAGGUGCCAAUGGAUUCACCUUCCAAAUAAAGCAAUAUUGGCGCUCA